ACACUGCUGAAGAGUCCCAUAAUAAGACGAAACGGCGUCCAGUGC
rfam:Schistosoma rodhaini strain Burundi genome assembly, scaffold: SROB_scaffold0007156